ensembl:lncRNA
AAGCAGUUUCCAUGGUUUUUGCAACUUCUGUUGUAGCAACGAACUCCGUAUGAAAUGGGAGGCCUCGGAAACGCGUGGUCCUCUGGUGCGUUGCAGCUGGGGAUGAGGCGCGUGCGGAGCUAAGAUAACACGGCGAGCUUGGGAAGGGCUGGUCACGAGGCUGGUGGUGAUCGUUGUUAAUAAGGGCCUGACUGCAUGAUCCCUGCUGGAGGCGAACAUGCGUCACUCAGAGGAGAACAUGCUUGGCAUGGGGGAUGCAUCCUGAUCUUGGGGUCAGCUGAAGCCAGUCGAGCUCCGCAGAUCUGCAUCAGCUGGAGCGCUGGCCCGAUUUUGAAAGCUCCUCUCAGCAGCUUUGUGACUUUGAGAAGGAGUGAGGGAAAUAGUGCCGGGUGGGUGAGUCAAAAUGUAGCCACCAUCGCGGUUCACUGGCCUAUUCUACUGCCAAGGAGCCACAGCAGCAAUUCCUGCACGGGAUCUCGGAGUGGGAAACUUCUAAGCCCAGGUUGCUGCUCAGGGUACGCACGUGGCCCACCACUGACUGCGGCAGGUGCUGUGGCCAGGUGGGCCGCCCGUGGCACGCUGCUCGGCGAGGAAACCCCCAGCUCCUCCCUGGAAGUGAGCUGGGACUCUGAGUUUUCAGCCCAAUCCACCCCCAGGAUGCACCUAACCUGCAUGAUGGUGUUUGGCAGCUCUCCAAAUCGGGUCACUGGUUUAUUCAGCAGAAGCCAAUCCCAAGCCCAUCUGGUUGCUCUUGGGCAUGGAGCAGCCUGACAAGGGUUUAAAAUCAAAAUAUUAGCCUUUAAAAAAGACAAGAAAUUGUAACAAACUUUCUGUGAAUAAUAGUGGGAAUUCUUCAUGUUUUCUAGUUGUUUGUUUGUUUUUGUAAUGCUUGUGGUAUUGAAACGAUAUUCUUGUGCCUUCGUAUACCUUUUCCAAAAUCACUGCUCUUUCACAUUCCCUGCAAACUUAAUCUCUGGGUAAAUCCUUUUGGUCUUUAAACUUUUGAUCUGCACUGAGCAAACAAGAUGAAGUCAUUCCCAAAUCCUAAAAACUGGAAAAAGUCUAUCUCGUGCUGAGCACUCAUGGAGUAAUUCUCCAGCAAGGGGAGUUCCAAAACACAAGUGUUUGUGGGCAAAAUAUGACUCUCGCGAUCUGCCCACGUUGGACGAGGCUAUUAGUGAGUUCAUGACAAGCAACACACUGGAACACAAUUAGAGAAGAGCUCUGUAGUAGGCGAGAACCUCCCAACAUUUUAAAUGUCAGCUCAGAAACUUAUUAAUUGCUUGGAAAGGGCUUCUGGAGCCAAGGUAAACUUUGGGGAAAUGGCAUAAUCUGCCAACGUGCCUUCAGACAAGCAAGGUCCUGGGAGAUCCCUCUCUGCUUGGACAUACGGGUUUAAGCCCUGACUGCUGGGUGGAAUGACUCCUCUUUAACACUGCUGUGAUGGAUGAUUUCUGUCAUGCACUGGAAGUGAAGUAUCUGAUGAGUUACUGAUUGGCUGGCAUGUUUAUAGAGCAAUUUUCCUGGCAGAAAGUGCUGGUUUCAUCAAAACCGAGCUAUUUUGCAGAAACAUGGCUGACCCUCCUUCCAAGGGCAGAUUUUGACUUUUUCUUUAGAAAUAAACUUG